GGUUCGAUCAUGGCUCAGAUUGAACGCUGGCGGGAUGCUUUACACAUGCAAGUCGAACGGCAGCACGGACUUCGGUCUGGUGGCGAGGCGAACGGGUGAGUAAUGUAUCGGAACGUGCCUAGUAGCGGGCGAUAACUACGCGAAAGGUAGCUAAUACUGCAUACGCUCCUUCGGGGAAAGUGGGGGACCUCGCUCCCGCACUAUUAGAGCGGCCGAUAUCGGAUUAGCUAGUUGGUGGGGUAACGGCUCACUAAGGCGACGAUCCGUAGCUGGUUUGAGAGACCACCAGCCACACUGGGACUGAGACACGCCCAGACUCCUACGGGAGGCAGCAGUGGGGAAUUUUGGACAAUGGGGGAAACCCUGAUCCAGCCAUCCCGCGUGUGCGAUGAAGGCCUUUCGGGUUGUAAAAGCACUUCGGCAGGAAAGAAACGGUGGCACGGGAUAAUACCCCGUGCAACUGAUUACACCUGCAGAAUAAGCACCGGCUAACUACGUGCCAGGCAGCCGUAAUACGUAGGGUGUUAAUCGGAAUUACUGGGUGCAAGCGUGCGCAGGCGGUUCGGAAAGAAAGAUGUGAAAUCCCAGAGCUUAACUUUGGAACCGCAUUUUUAAUUACCGAGCUAGAGUGUGUCAGGAGGGAGGUGGAAUCUUCAUGUAGUAGUGAAAUGCGUAGAUAUGCGGAGGAACACCGAUGGCAAGGCAGCCUCCUGGGAUAAAUACUGAUGCUUCGCGCACGAAAGCGUGGGGAGCAACAGAGAUGAUACUCCUGGUAGUCCAGCGCCUCAAAACGAUGUCAACUAGCUGUUGUGCCUUCGGGCCUUGGUAGCGCAGCUAACGCGUGAAGUUGACCGCCUGGGGAGUACGGUCGCAAGAUUAAACCAAAGGAAUUGACGGGACCUGCAAUGUUGCGGAUGACAGACUAUCCGAUGUAACGAAAACCUUACCUACCCUUGACAUGUCCUGGAAUCCCGAAGAGAUUUAAGAGUGCUCGCAAGAGAACCGGAAGACAGGUGUCAUGGCUGUCGUCAGCUCGUGUCGUGAGAUGUUGGGUUAAGUCCCCAACGAGCGCAACCUUGCCAAUAGUUGCUACGAAAGGGCACUCUAAUGAGACUGCCGGUGACAAACCGGAGGAAGGUGGGGAUGACGUCAAGUCCUCAUGGCCCUUAUGGGUAGGGCCACACGUCAUACAAAUGGCCGAUAGAGGGUCGCCAACCUGCGAGGGGAGCCAAUCCCAGAAACCCGACUGGAUCGCAGUCUGCAACUCGAUCGCGUGAAGCCUGGAAUCGCUAGUAAUCGGUGUGAUCAGCAUGUCAGUGAAUACGUUCCCGGUCUUUACACCGCCCGUCACACCAUGGGAGUGGGGUUUUACCAGAAGUAGUUAGCCUAACCGUAAGGAGGCGACUACCACUUGGUAGGAUUCAUGACUGGGGUGAAGUCGUAAUGAAGUAG
rnacentral:rRNA from 1 species